GAUGAACGCUGGCGGCGUGCCUAAUACAUGCAAGUCGAGCGAACAGACGAGGAGCUUGCUCCUCUGACGUUAGCGGCGGACGGGUGAGUAACACGUGGAUAACCUACCUAUAAGACUGGGAUAACUUCGGGAAACCGGAGCUAAUACCGGAUAAUAUAUUGAACCGCAUGGUUCAAUAGUGAAAGACGGUUUUGCUGUCACUUAUAGAUGGAUCCGCGCCGCAUUAGCUAGUCGGUAAGGUAACGGCUUACCAAGGCAACGAUGCGUAGCCGACCUGAGAGGGUGAUCGGCCACACUGGAACUGGGACACGGUCCAGACUCCUACGGGAGGCAGCAGUAGGGAAUCUUCCGCAAUGGGCGAAAGCCUGACGGAGCAACGCCGCGUGAGUGAUGAAGGUCUUCGGAUCGUAAAACUCUGUUAUUAGGGAAGAACAAAUGUGUAAGUAACUAUGCACGUCUUGACGGUACCUAAUCAGAAAGCCACGGCUAACUACGUG
rnacentral:rRNA from 1 species